CCAGGAAUCGCUCUGGAAAUAUUUUAUGAAGUCCUUACAACUACUGCUGCUCUGCAAUCACACUACUUCACCAGGAAUCUUUCCAGAAACAUUUUUACCAGGUUCAUUCAACUACUGCUGCUCUGCACACUGACUCCUUCAACAGGAAUCUUUCCAGAAACUUUCACC